UUGUUGUCACUUACAGUUGUCAUUUACUGUUUUCUCUUUUAGGUGCUUCAGAAAAAGCAUUUUCUGCAUGGAAGCCCUCCAUUGGUUCUUCCUCUAGGACAUCACACUCAGAUGGCAUCAAGAAUUUUGAAGAUUCCAUGGGUUUUGCAACAUAAUAAACAGAUGUGGAAAAGAACAAUGAAAAACAAGAAAAGACAAGGACAUUCACCUAAUCCUGAGGAAAUCCAAAUUAGCUUAUGACAAAUAUGAAUAUUUUUACUCUUUUACACACAGUAUUUUAUCUGAAUGAGCAUUCAGCAAGUCUCCUUUAUCAGUAAAUGUGGGGAAAAAAAGGUCACUCAUUUUACUUCAUGCAGGGGAAGAUCCCACAGAAGGAGGAGGCUCAUACAGGGAACAAGAGAAAAUUGGACACUCACCCCUACCCUACAUUUUACUUGCAUACCAAAUAUGGAGGAUUGAGUUUAUCCUCUUUACCUCCAAAACAGACAAUACUUCAAAAACACAUCUUAAAGAUGGUAUCUUUUUUUUCCCAUUUCCCUCUCUUCCUUUAUGUCUCCUCUUCCUCUUCAGAGUUCCUCUCUAUUCUUUUCCCAUCCAUUAGGUAAAAUAAUUCGGAUGACCACAGUCACAAUAACAUACUUUCAGUCCAAUAUAUAACAUUUGGAUAUCUUCUAGCAAAAUCUUUCAUGCUUCAUUUUAUCACCUGUGAGAAACACCAUUAGACUCACACUUGAUACCUCAUAGAAAAAGAUUUGACAUCUGCUUUUCCAAAUUGGAAUGCAAGGCACCUUACAGUAUUAAACACACAUGGUGCAUUAAUACCAACAGCUGAAAAUCUAGUUGUGUAAAAAAGUACGAUUUAAAGUGCAAAUAGAUUUAAUAUCUUUAAUAUUACAUUCCCAAUCUACCUUUGACUAAAAAAAAAAAAAUCUGUGAGAGUCAUACUCUACAGUUAUUAUUAAAAUUUAUUAUAUUAUUAAAUAUUUAUAGACAUGACUAAAAAUCUCAUUAAGCAUAGCAUUGGUGUGAUAAUAGAGUUCAUAAAAACAUUGCUCUGUUUUUCCUGAUUAGUUCUCAUACACUUUUCUCACCAGUCUCUUUAAUUUGUU
rnacentral:lncRNA from 1 species